rnacentral:tRNA from 1 species
GGCCCUGUGGUGAAAUUCAUGGUGAGUUGCAAGCUCAUUGAUGUACGUUGAUGCGUACCGGGGUCU